CAAUAGCGUAUAUUAAAGUUGUUGCGGUUAAAAAGCUCGUAGUUGGAUUUCUGCUGAGAACGACCGGUCCGCCCUUUGGGUGUGUAUCUGGCUCUUUCUUGGCAUCUUCUUGGAGAACGUUGCUGCACUUGACUGUGUGGAGCGCUACCCAGGACUUUUACUUUGAGGAAAUUAGAGUGUUUCAAGCAGGCAUACGCCUUGAAUACAUUAGCAUGGAAUAAUAAGAUAGGACCUCGGUUCUAUUUUGUUGGUUUCUAGAGCUGAGGUAAUGAUUAAUAGGGAUAGUUGGGGGCAUUCGUAUUUAACCGUCAGAGGUGAAAUUCUUGGAUUUGUUAAAGACGGACUACUGCGAAAGCAUUUGCCAAGGAUGUUUUCAUUGA
rnacentral:rRNA from 1 species